CCCGCCCCACCCGGGUGCAGCCUGGCGGGUCGCCCCCUCGCGCUCCCCGGGGCAGGGCGGGCUGGGUUGAGCGCUCCAGUGAACCAGGAUUCCGGGCGGGUGCGGCGGGUAUCGUGCACCGGGCCCUUCCUGCCACCCUUUUCCCUGUUCUCCGCAAUUUCUCGCUCCGGCUAGUAAGGGAACUAUGCACCUCCCCCAACCCUGGGCUCGCUCAGUGGGGGUGAGGGUGUAGCCGGAGGGCAGGGAGGGAGGAAGCUCCCCGCUGGCAGGGCUGGGCGGCUGCGCAGCUGGUUGGGCCGCCCCCCUACUCCUGGGUGUCCACAGGGUGCCAGAAGCUGGGUGCCCAGGGGGGCUCCAGGACCACUAGAGAUUACAUUUCUUGUGAUUCCUUUUAAAAUCUAGCUGCAGUCAUGGGCGUGCCUGGUCUGUGAAUGCGUAUUUCUGGGAUAUGCCCAGUGGGAAUGGUGGGGGCUCAGGGCAUAGUUAUCACCUGGGGCAGGGGCGUGAGGCAGUACCGAGGGACACCUGCAGAGGCUGAGGAGCUGAGGGGCUGGGUCCUGCAGAGGCUGAGGAGCUGAGGGGCUGGGUCCUGCAGAGGCCAGGAGCCACAGAUGGUUUCAUCAAAGUCUAGGGAGGAGUUAAUGAGGGAGGGCGGAAAGCAGGUGCCCAGAACAGCACCCUCCCCACUCAGGGCCCCGCACCUGGCACCCUGGGCCGGUCUCAUGAUGCUAUGGGAUGUGAUCCCCUGGGUCCCUUAUUACUGCCUGGAUUUGUCAUCAGAAGUCACCCUGAGAGCCCACACCCCAGCAGGAUUUGGGAGGGGCAGCCCCACAGCACGCGUCAGGGCCUCCUCACAGGCCCUGCAGGCUUUGCACACUCCCUCCCUCGGAGCGCCUCACAGGGUGCCCCUGCCCCUGGCUCGGGAGCCACGUGAGAGCGAGAUUCUUGUCCUUUCCCUGUCCCCGCAGCGCCUGGUAGCACUGGCAUAGCACUGGUAGCACUGGCAUAGGUGACCAGGCACAAGCUUGUCCCCUGCAUGUCUGGGUUGCCCAGGAGCCCCCAGGGCACUACUGUCCCUUCUCUAGGCCCUCCCCGUCCCCUCCCCUGCUCCCUCCUCCCCAGAACCCCUGGGAGAGGUUGGGUAGAGCUGCUGCUUCGUGUGUGCAGGGCUGGGGAACCAGCCUGGCCUUUGUGGACGUUGCUGGCUGCAGCUGUUGUGCUGGGAGCAGGAAACCUGGGCAGGCUGGGGCAGGCGUUGCAGGGUGUUGAGGGAAGUGGGAGGCUGAGGAACCCCCUCCUGGGCCCACCCAGCUAGGAGAAUUCAAGGCUCCUGAGCUGAUGGCUGGCAGUGGGACUCCAUGCUUAUUCAUCCGUUCUCGCCCUGCUUUGGGCUUCUCUGUUCAACCGAAGCCUGAUACUGUUGUCAGGGAGCUGCAGCUCACAAACAUCACAGCUUAGAAAUCCUGGCAUCAAAGGAAAUGCCAGCGGUCCCUUUGCUGGAAGCCAGGAUAGUGGACUCAGAAGCCAGCAGAUAGGGUUUGAACGUUGGCCCUGCUCUACUUCACAUUUGGACGAGUGUCCUUAGCGUCUCUGUGCCUCAAUUGAGUCGUCUGUAAAACGGGAAUAGUGGCUGAAUGAAGGGCAGGGCUGUUACUGAUGGGUCUCCACGGGGAAUGAACGAGGUCGAUGUCAGGCUGAAGAGGGGCUGGAUACCCUCAGCUAAGUGUCGGGUGUGAGGUGAGGUGAGGUGUUCCAUCACUAGAGUAGGCUGGAAUAGGCCGGAUUUGUCCUCUGGAAGGCACGAUUCACCAGAUAAGUACAGGGGCUUGGGCGGGGACCUUAGUGUCCACGCCACGCAGGGAGUACAUGUGCUGGACAGUGUCAGGUCCAGGCAUUCACCACUGUCCUGGUAACACUGGGGUCUGACCACGGGCUGGGCCGUCAGGCGCCUCUGUCGAGACCCCCACAAAGAGGAAGGCCACAGCAAUGGCCACUGGAGUCCGUCCCUCUGCCAGCCAAAGUAGGAGGAUGCAGCAGAUUGUGCUCUCUCUCUGCCAAAGCUCAUUGUUUGGUUUUCAAACCCCUGACCUUUUGGCUAAGCUGCCCUUAUUUUCAAAGGUUUAUCUUUGAGUUAGCCUGGGAGCUUAAAAAAUCAUAAAAGGCAACUUAGUGCAAAUAUUGUGAUGGAGCAUUUGCUUAAAACCACGUAGGAAAAUGUCACUUGGAAGGCCUUGCUCUACACGGUGGAUGGCGGGCCCCGGGUGGGGACUCCUGGCAGCUACGCCGCUCAGCUGCUCCAAGGCGCUCGCCUGUUCUGAGUUCUCCUGUGCACUCACCAACCGGAUGGCUCUGCAGCCGGAAGCUUUUAACUCCACGUUGUUUGCCCCUUUCUCUCUGAUUUCUGCAGACAGAAGCCCUUCCUAAACAGCUGAAACUCUAAGAAAGUGCCGGUGAAGCUUGGGAAGGGCCGGGCCGGGUCCGGUCAUGCCCAUUGGUGAUGCAGCCACACCCUUGGCCACCAGAUGCCUUCACUGACACAUGAAGCCGGGCACAGCCUCGUGGGGGGCAGGGCUCCGGGGGCGAGUGUCUCCUGCAAGCUGGAGAACCUUGGAGACCUGCUGCCCUGAUCCCAACAUUCCCAAUGCUGCCUGUUGAGGAGCCGGCGGGUCCCAAGGGCAGCAAGGACCGAGGUCCACGGGCACGGCUGUGAUGCUAGGGUGCAGCACGAGUGCUGAACAGGGGCAGCCCGUGUGCUGGGGACAGUCUGGCUUUCUGUGGUUCCCUGAGUGGUGUGAGCAAGGCCAUGUCCUUAUUACCAAGCAAGGUAGUCAUCUGUGCCUGGGGUGACAAUCACAUCCAAAGAGUCACCACAUGAGAGGUCUUUGGAAGACGCUCCCAAGGGUGGGGGUCCCUGCUUGUUUCAUUGGCUAGCUUACCCUGAGUCCCUCCAACGCUGCCCGGCACGUAGUUGGCACUCAGUGGGUCUGUGUUGCACGAGUGGAGCAGAUGCGAUGGUGAACAGGAUGAGGCCAUGCCAGCAGGAUGUGCAAAACCCGUCACUGGUUCACAGCAGGCUUCAGGCUUCUGAAUGUAGGAGAGUCACCAUCUCUCCAGCCUCCGUCCUUCUCUUCCCUCAGGCCCCCAACCACUGUUGGGCGACUCUUGCUAGCAGGAAGCCCUCUUACUAAAUUGAAAAAAUUAAGUUUACAAUAACAUCUACAUCAGUUAUCUAUUGCAGCAUAACAAAAUGCCCCCACACUCAGUGGCUUAAAACAACAGGCAUUUAUUGUUUCAGUGGCAGCAGUAGUUGGUUUCCUAUGAGGAUGAAGGUGGGUGGGGGAGAAACGUGAAUGUGUUAGAGGCACAGAAGAUAAGUAAUAAACAUAAUUGGUAGAGCUUGGCUAUAGAUUUUCCCACCCACAGCACGGGAAUUGCACGUGUUCCAGGACGUACAGUGUUCCAAGGAGGAUCUUUAAAAACGGAGCGGCACCUGCACAUGUGCACGCACAGCGAGUGUUCGCAGGCCCGCAAGGAGGGCGGAGCCUCCUUCCAGGCUCACACUGGCUGCGCUCCAGGCAUCUCUGGGGCUGUUGGCAGAUUCUGGGGGUUGCGCUACAGGCCGAUCAAUCCUCAGUCAUUGGCAUCCUUGUCCCUCACAUUCCCAGGCCGCCCCUUGGACCUCGGCCAGCUCUCUGGAAACGUGAGCCGUGUUCUCAGGGAAGAACCAGAAGAGGAAGCGGGCGUGGCUGCCCACAAGUGCAGCGGCUGCUGCGUGGGAUGGGCCCCAGGAAGGCCAGGGAUACAGAGGGCAGGUCGGGGUGACAGGCUGGAGAGGAGGUGGUUUCAAAUCCCAGCUUCACCGGGCCUGGACCCCCAGUUUCCUGUGUGUGAAAUGCACGACGCGGCCUCUAGGUCGCCAGGCUGCUGUGAGCAUCCUGUGAUGUGCACACACUUCAUUCCACACAGAGGCCAGGGCCCACCCCGGUGGCUGCAGGGCAGCUGGAGAGGCUGGGUGGGAGGAGGAUGGCCCAGAGUGGGGUCACACACUCCGUCUUUGCCCGCGUGGGGACAUGCUCGGGGCGUUGCCGUGGCUGUUUUGUGCGCUUGGCUGAGGAUGGAGAGUGAUUGGCCACCAGAGUUAUGUGAGGUCCCCAUCAGCAUCAUAGACACUCAGCAUUCCUGUUUUGGGCCUCAGGUGAGCUGGGAUGGCUGUUCCACAGUGCCCGCAGGUCGCCUGAGGAAGAUGGCACCAGCAGGCUGGGAGGCUCGGGGUAGGACAAACCAUUCACUCUGGUUUUCCUGGGACUUUCAAGGUUUUAAAGCAGCCAAGUCCAGAGACCUGGGAGCUGGAGCCCUCUCAGUCUCAAGCAGUUGGGGCUGAGGGUCACCCUGGCUGUGUACUGUGGGAGUUUGUUCUUACAGCCUCCCUCCCUUCCCAUGCUCUCUCCUGCUCCGUUGACCCCCCACCCCAGGUCUCCCCCGCUGGGACCAGGUCUCACCACUCCCUCCAAAUCCCAAAUCACCCAGGGUUCCUUCACCUGCCACAGCUAAGAAGCCAAGAAUCUUCUAAUUCAAACCUGACAUGGCUCCAUGGAGAGCUGGCUGCUCUGCAACGGGCCCAGUUUUCAAUCAUGUAUUUCCUCCGGGCUCUGAUUCAGCCGGAUGGUCUGACUCACACAGUCGUCAGACGUAUAUCAACAAGUGUGUCUCUGCCGUCUGCCUGGAGGCCAGAGCCUCCUGGUGAGCCCUUGGUUCAAGGGCUCACACCUAGUGGGCAAAAGCGGUCAAGUUCCCUUAAUUUUCAUGCCCCCAAGAGCCAUCUGCCCUCCACCUGGCUCUGCGGGAAUCUGGUGCAGGCCUGGUACCCAGAGGACAGGGAGAUGUGUGUUGAGCGAAUCGUGAGCACCUGGAGGGAACAGCUAGCACUUCACCUGCUCAGCCUCUCCCCUUGCCUGGGUGCCAGCACCUGCAAGUCUUCCUGUGAAUCGCCUGCUGUCCACAUGGUCUGUGUGUGCGAGCAUGUGUGUAUGCCUGCAUGCGUGUUGGGCUACCAGGCACAGGGGCUCAGAGGGUCCCUGCUGGCAGGAGCAGGUCUUCCCACGCUCAUCUCCUGUCCUUUCUCUGAGACCCCGCAGGAGGCUCUGUCUCCUCUCCCCAGGGCUGGCAUCCACCUGGCAAAGAAGGCUGUGCCCAGCCGGGAGGGAGGAGGGCAUCCUCUGCCUGCCCUGCCAUGCUUUGUGUUCUCUCUGCUCAGAUGCACAGAGCCCCAUCUCCUGACUGCAGCUCCAGGGACCCUCUCCCCUGGCUGGAGUUCCGGGGACCCUCUCUGCUGGCUGCAGCUCCAGGGACCGUCUCCUCCUGCUUGCGGUUGGUUUCUCAGUGUGAAUGAGACUCUGCUCCACCCAACCAGGCAGAGGGCUUGGGAUCUGCAGUCCGACCCAGGGGCUUCAAGUCUUGGCUCUGCCACCUCCAGAGUGAGCGACCUUAGGUGGCCCUGAGCUUCGGCUUCCUCCUCUGGAAUAUGGGGAUGUUAACUGUGCCUCACGUUCAUGGGUGUGGAUGAGAUGGCGCUGCCCAUAUGGUGGGCAGAGUAAGGAUCCCAAGGAUGUUCAUGUCAUGCCAGACUCUCCAGAACCUGUGAAUAUGUUGGGGCACCUGCCAAAGGGGAUUAGGGGGCAGGCGGAUUAAGGCAGCUCAUCAACCACGAAAUGGGGAGGCUGUGCUGGGCUGUCCUGGGCCCAGAGGAGUCACCAAGGCCCUUAAAUGCGGAAUAGAGAGACAGGAGAACCAGAGUGACGGCAGCCUGAGAGGGUCUGGCACAUCGGAUGCACAGGGAGCCACGGCGCUGUCCUCACAGCACAGCGGGCCGGCCGUGAGCAUCCCACACUGGCCGUGUCCAGAGAGCCUGGCUGAAUGAUGAGUGAAUGAAGGAUGGCUAAAGUGGGCUGGGGAGGUGGGAAGAGGCCGCUGGGGCCCAGUCCCUGCUGUACACCAGACCUCUCCCCUCCAAGACAGCACGAGGGGCCCAGGGUCCCCCAGGCUCUCUUUGCCCACCCUGGCUGCACCCGUCCUGGCCUUCACCUCCAAGCAGAAGAUGCUCAGGACGAGAGCCCAGCUCCACACGGCUCAGAGACCACUCCCCUCCUGUCCAGCUCUGGUGUCUCAAGCUGUGCUGUGGAGAGUGAGGACAGAGGGGGCCUCUCAGGACAGGCCAACCCGGUAUGAGGACAGAGCAGGCAGAGGCCACAGUCCAGGUGGCUGCAGCUGCUCCGCACCUGGAGGUGGGUGUCCAGGAGAUGGGGCCCAGAGAGCGGCUCUGUGUGGAGCAGGGAAGGCACAGUUAGGGAGGAACCUUGCCCAUAAAGUUCCACGUCCCUCCCCAGCUUGCUGGACUGUGAACAGGAGCAAGGACUGGCGCCCUGCAUCCCGGCGCCCUGCACCCCAGCAUCCUGCACCGCAGCGUCCUGCACCCUGAUGUCCCUGCUGGGGCCUUGUGGGCUCUUGGGACUCCUGCCUGCCCAGCCCACUGAGUGCCUCCGCGCUGGCUGACCCGCGGGGCUGCUACAGCAAGCACGUUCACGGGGAGAGCACCAGAUGUCUGGGGGAACUGGCUGAGGUGGGGCAGUUUGGGAAGACUUGUCCAAGGAGAACACGUUCACCGAGUCCUGGAAUGUGGUGUGUGAGCAGGAAUGGUGGUGGGCAGGACGGGGUUGGGCCAGUGUGCAGCCCGAGGUCAGAAGACAGAGGGGUUAGGGACGCGGCUCCUGCACCUCUGUGCCUGUGACAUGGUUUUAUUCCUGGAGCUGGUGGAAGACACUGCAUAUUCAGCCUGGGCCCCAGGUCGGGGCUGGUGGCUCUGGGAUCCCGCCCGAGGCAGCAGGCAGUGGGGUGGUGGGAGGAGAGGAAGGAGGGGGGACUUGUUGCCACGGCUCUAACUUGACUCCUCGCAGACGCACAGCCUUGACUCCUGUCCACCCAGCAAUCUCACCGUGCGCCCUUCCAGGCCUGCUGAGCAGAACCGCGUGGAAGGGUGAAGCAGAGAUGGCCUGGAGUCACCUUGGAUUGUGAAACCUGUCAGCAAGUUUAAAGAAAUCAGCCAAGAGACACACAAAGAAAGCUGAUGUUUUGGAGGAAACAGGGAAUUAGGAGAGAAAGGACGGGCAGCUCUUGCAUUCUCUUGAAGGCUCAGCAGUCCGGCCCCCCGCCAGGAGGAGGUGAGGAGAUGCGCGAGGCAGGGUUGGAGUUGGAGCAGGAUGCUGAGGGUCUUGUCAUGCCCGUCCUUCCUGCCACGUGGCUGUGCCAGGCUGCCCUCUGGGGAAGGCAGGACUGGGUGCCGUGGCGCGGGCAUCUCUUCCCUCUGACUUUCAGGCUUGCUUCCUCCUCGGUCUAAGGACGGAGUUUGCACAAACAUGACUUCUGCGUCUCCAGAGAUCCAGUGUCUGACUUUACCCACAGUCGGGAGUCCUCCAUGCUUAGAAAUAUUGAAAUAGGAAAAAUGUCUUCCAUUUUGUAGUCGCUUCCUAGGAGUUUCCAAAAGCAAAACCUUGAAAUGGUUCCUCCUCUGUCGUUCUCGCCUUGGAGCUGCAAAGGCCCAUUCGAGACGCUUUCUUUAACAACGUGAGGCCAUGCCAUGGGGAAAGGAACCCCAGGGGCAAGAGGGUCUGAGGGCAGCUGCCCGGCUCACUGAGGGUGGCACACUCCCUCUAUGACCCUCAGAGAGAGCAGAGGGUUCACAGGGUGCCAGCAUGGGCCUAUGUGGGACACCAAGGGGGACAGCAUGAGGAUACCAAGCCCAGUCCACACAGCAAGUCUGGGCUCCCACGAGCCACGGACACAGCCAGGGCUGGUCCAUCGGCCGCCUCUGAAUUCCCCUCCCUUUCACCCCAAGUCUCAGCCAAGGGCUCCAUCUCCCACUUGCCCUGAAGCUAGACACGCCACAGAGUAAGUUCUGGCAGGGGGUGUGGAGAGAGGGCACCCUUGCCGCUCAGGCAGCAUCUCCCUGGCUUCCUGGCCUCCCUCUGGCUGGGAGGUGAGGGUGGUGAGAGACGGAAGCUCCUGGGGAGACAUCCCAGCAGCAAGAGAGAGGGAGCCUGUCUCCAUCCACUCGAGGUGCUGACACACAACACCAGAGGCUGGCUGGAGUUCCUAAACAACAGAAAUCCCUUCUCACGGUCUGGGAGCCGCAAGGCCAAGAUCAAGGGAAGAUUCAAGGUCUGCCGAGGGCCUGUUUCCCAGUUCACGGAGGGUGCCUUCUUGCAAGAAGCCCCACCUUCACCACCAAAUCCCCUCCCAAAGGCCCCACUUCUCACACCUUUGCCCGGGGGGUUGGGAUCCCAAGACAAGAGCUUGGAGGAGCGGGGGCUGGGAUUCCAACCCAGGAACUUGGAGGAGCCACAGGCAUGCAUCUGAUUACAAAGCCCCUCUCUGGGUCUGAACCCCAUGCCUUCCCAGGACUCCUGCCCUCCUGGGACCAUUCCUGGAGUCAAAUGGAGCCUGAAGCUUCCUGAGGACACCAUUUGAGGCCCUGGCCAGCCCCAGCUGCCCCCUGGACUUUCAGUCCCAUGGAACCUUUAUUCUCUCGAACUGUUUGACUUGGGUUUUUGCCAUAUGCCCCGAUGUCUUGGGACAGUCAUCUGUGAAUUUAGGAGACACCUCCAUCAUUUAUUCACCUCCUAGGGGAUGAGGAUACCUGGAGGGCAGGCCCUGAUACCCUGCUUUCCUGUCAGGGGAAACUGCGUCGUGGGCAGAAGACCAGGGCAUGGGCAUCCGGUCCAGGGCCCGACAGAGCAGAGCAGCUAAGCCCAGGAGAGAGGUCAGCCUCUCGGGCAGGCUCCUGAAGGACAGAGUGUGGGGUCUCCCCUCGGGGCCCCUCCCCAGCUGCACCCCUUCCCCAUUUAAAGUCACCAGGUGCCUCUCCUCAGGCUGUGGGACGAGGAAGGAGCCCUUUGCUGUACCCAGUGUUGUACCCAGUGCCUUGCCGGUUGGACCACGUGCUCCCUGAAGACGGGGCCCAGCUCUCCCUCCCCACUCAAUCACCCUCAACCCCCACACUUCUAAGUCUUCAGGACCUGCUUUUUCAACCCCCACCAGCUUAGGCUGGUCUCAGAGGACUGCUCUGGGAGAGGAAGUCCAGACCAUGGGCUGGGGUGCCUAACUGUUGCUCGUUUUCUUUUCAGAGAAUGAAUGAUGUUGAGCUUGACAUGGAUAAUUGAGUGUACAACUUUUCUAAAAGUAACAUACACAGAUGCUGGGCCCCGA